CGUUCAAUCCCUUUGUGACUUCUGACCAAAGCAAGAACCACCAAAGGCAUUUCAAUGCACCUUCUCACAUUCACAGGAAGAUUAUGUCUUCCCCUCUUUCCAAAGAGCUGAGACAGGAGACAGAAGUGCAACAUUUGAUCCAUGCCCAUCUGAAAGGAUGGCGAAGUUCAGGUUGUACCAGGACACUAUAAAGGUCAGCAAAUGGGCAAAAUAGUCCAGGUUUACAGGAAGAAAUAUGUAGUUGACAUUGAAAGGGUGCAGUGUGAAAAGGCUGAUGGCUCAACUGUACACGUAGUCAUUCGCCCCAGCAACAUUUCAUCACUAAGCUAAAAGUGGCCAAAGACCGGAAAAAGAUUCUUGAACAGAAAGCCAAAUCUCACCAAGCAGGAAAGGAAAUGGGCAAAUACAAGGCAGAAACAACUGGGAAGAUGCAGGA
rnacentral:lncRNA from 1 species